GACGAACCGUGCGAACGUUGUUCGGAAUCACUGGGCUUAAAGGGCGCGUAGGCGGGCUCACAAGUCAGGGGUGAAAUCCCACGGCUCAACCGUGGAAGUGCCUUUGAUACUGUGAGUCUCGAGGGAGGUAGGGGCGUGCGGAACUUCCGGUGGAGCGGUGAAAUGCGUAGAUAUCGGAAGGAACACCGGUGGCGAAAGCGGCGCGCUGGACCUCUUCUGACGCUGAGGCGCGAAAGCCAGGGGAGCAAACGGG
rnacentral:rRNA from 1 species